AUUGAACGCUGGCGGCAGGCCUAAUACAUGCAAGUCGAGCGGAUGAAUGGUGAUCGCUCCUGGAUUCAGCGGCGGACGGGUGAGUGAUGCCUAGGAAUCUCCCUUGUAGUGGGGGAUAACGUUCGGAUACGGGCGCUAAUACCUCAUACGUCCUGAGGGUGAAAGUGGUGGAUCUUCGGUCCUCACGCUAUCAGCUGAGCCUAGGUCGGAGUAGCUCGUUGGUGGGGUAAUGCUGUACCAAGGCGACGAUCCGUAACUGGUCUGAGUGGAUGAUCAGUCACAGUGGGACUUAGACACGGUCCAUACUCCGACGGGAGGCAGCAGUGGGGAAUAUUGGACAAUGGGCGAAAGCCUGACCCAGCCAUGCCGCGUGUGUGAAGAAGGUCUUCGGAUUGUAAAGCCCUUUAAGUGGGGAGGAAGGGCAGUAAGUUAAAACCUAGAUGUUUUGACGUUACCAACAGAGUAAGCACCGGCUAACUUCGUG
rnacentral:rRNA from 1 species